rnacentral:tRNA from 1 species
UGCCGGAUCGUCUAAUUGUAGGACAGCGGCCUUUGAAGCCGUCGAUCCAGGUUCGAAUCCUGGUCCGGCAG